AUGGCAUGCCCAACAGGCAGUCCCAUCCCAUUGCACUGUCCCAGUCCCAUACCCAUCAUGCUACCCCACCAUUUCCCAUCCCUUUCCCAUCUCCCUUGCCUCCCUCAUGCAAAUAGCUACAAAGAGCACUUAAUCAUCCUGGUUAAUUGUCUCUACCCUCCCCUGUUCCCCCCCGGGGAUUUUCUCACAAAUGGUGUCCAAAUUUUCCCUUUUGUGUUUUGCUUUUCCACCAGAGAUCGCAGCCCCUCCGCCCCCAGCCUCCCCCCAGCCCUCUGUUUACACAACUGGGACAAAUUUCACACCGCUGUCCCCACGGCCCCAGCCCCUCGAAGAAUUCGUGAGUCACGGCCGAGGCAGAGCUAUAAAUGUGUCCCCACCAAGGGUCUGCAGUGUCAGAAGGGACAGCACCUUCUGCCACCAUGCAAGCUGCUGCCUGCUGCCUGCCUGCCCCCGGGCUCCCUGCGGCCAGUGCUUGCCCACCCCUGGGGCUGGAGCAAGGGGCAAGGUACAGGGUGCUGCGCUGGGGGGAGCGGGCCGGGUGUGGGAUGGGGGAGCUCCAGCUGGGUUUGGGUGAAGGGUGCGGUGCUGGGGACACCUCUGAUCCCAGCGGCCAUGGAUGGGACAGAGGGUGUUGGCACCCGGGCGGGGCUGGACGGGCGGGUGAGGCCGGCAAGGCAAAGGGGAGCGGGCAGGGUGAGCGGCUGUGGCGCUGAAGCUGCUCUCUCUCCUAGAGCCCUUCCUCUCUGGAGACCGUGGCUGCCCCAAGCCCAGGAGGAACCCGCGACGCGGCGGGAGGAGAUGGACCCUGUGAGUUUGGCAUUCCCCGCUGUGUUUGUCCCCAUGCCCGUGAGGCUGGGGUCCCUGCUGGCAGCCUCUCGCCCCACAGAGUCACCCCGGAGCCCUUUGUCCCACGGCUGUGCCGUGCCCACCUCCCCUGGAGCAUCACCCCGCACCCCACGCAGCCCCUGGGGCAGGGCCAGGCUGACCCCCCCGGGGGACACGGCCACCACAGCCCCGCCACGGGAGCCUGAAAGGGCCGCCUGUUCCCAGGCUGGGCGGGCAUUCCUCAGGGGGUUAGUGGGAUGCCUGGGCACCAGCUCUUGAGCACGGGGGAGAGAUUACCCUGGCAAAAAGCCUGUCAGGAGGGUGUGGGGGUAGAUGCCAGCUUCCUCGCGGUGGUGUGAGUGUCUCAACUCGGCGGCAGGGGAGGGGGGAGCUGCUGGGUGUGUGGGGCGCCAGCACAGGGCAUCCCGGUGCCAGCACAGGGCAUUCCGGUACCAGCACAGAGCAUCCCGGUACCAGCACAGGGCACCCCGGUGCCAUCCCGUGCACCCUGCGGGGAGGGGCACCGGAGCCCCGGUACUACCCGGCUGUGUCUCCCCAGGCUCGGGCAGCGGAGGGGGACGGCGGUCCCGGCAAAGCGCUGGCGUUCUUCCAGCACCCGGUCAGGCUCCUCUGGCCCAAGUCCAAGGCCUUUG